rnacentral:ncRNA from 1 species
ACCGGGAAUGCCGAAAACCGAAAUAUUAGAGUAGGCA